AUGGCGGCGGCGGUGGAGGAGGAGGAGAGCGCUGAAGCGGCGGCGGACGGGGAAGCGGACGGGGCGGCACUCAGGGAGAUGGAGGAGAUGGUGGCAGAGCUGUACCGCUUCCGGGACGCGGCACGGCACGGCGACGAUGGCGGCCAUGAUGGUGAUGAUGGCGGCCAUGAUAGUGAUGGCGGCCAUGAUGGAGGCGGCCAUGAUGGAGGCGGCCAUGAUGGUGGCGGCCAUGAUGGUGGCGGCCAUGAUGACGAUGAUGAUGAUGGUGACGGCGGUGGCGAGGAUGGUGAGCACAAAGAUGGGGAUGGAAGGAAGGGGACGGCGGAGGCGGCGGCGGCGCUGGAGGAGGAGGUGGAGCGGAUCGUGCAGCGCAUGGAGGGCAUCCGAGGUGAGACAUGGAGACCCAUAGAGACCCAUAGAGCCCCAUAGGGACUAUGGAGACCCAUAGGGACCCAUAGGAACCCAUAGAGCCCCAUAGGGAUGCAUAGAGCCCCAUAGGGACUAAUAGAGACCCAUAGAGCUCCAUAGGGACUAUGGAGACCCAUAGGGACCCAUAGGGACCCAUAGAGCCCCAUAGGGAUGCAUAGAGACCCAUAGAGCCCCAUAGAGACCCAUAGGGACUAUGGAGACCCAUAGGGACUAAUAGAGACCUAUAGAGCCCCAUAGAAACUAUGGAGACCCAUAGAGCCCCAUAGGGACCCAUAGAGCCCCAUAGGGACCCAUAGGAAGCAUGGAGAUCCAUAGAGCCCCAUAGGGAUCCAUAGUGCCCCAUAGGGACCAUGGAGACCUAUAGAGACCCAUAGAGCCCCAUAGAGCCCCAUAGGGACCCUUAGAGACUCAUAGAGCCCCAUAGGGAUCCAUAGGGACCCAUAGAGACCCAUAGAGCCCCAUAGGGACCAUGGAGACCCAUAGAGACCCAUAGAGACCCAUAGAGCCCCAUAGGGAUGCAUAGAGCCCCAUAGAGCCCCAUAGGGAUCCAUAGGGACCCAUAGAGACCCAUAGAGCCCCAUAGGGACCAUGGAGACCUAUAGAGACCCAUAGGGAUGCAUAGAGACCCAUAGGGACCCAUAGAGCCCCAUAGGAACAAUGGAAACCCAUAGAGCCCCAUAGAGCCCCAUAGAGCCCCAUAGGGACCAUGGAAACCCAUAGAGACCCAUAGAGCCCCAUAGCGCCCCAUAGCGCCCCAUAGGGACCCAUAGAGACUCAUAGAGAGCCCCAUAGGGAUCCAUAGCGACCCAUAGAGCCCCAUAGGGAUCAUGGAGACCUAUAGAGACCCAUAGAGACCCAUAGAGCCCCAUAGGGACCCUUAGAGACUCAUAGAGCCCCAUAGGGAUCCAUAGAGACCCAUAGAGCCCCAUAGGGACUAUGGAGACCCAUAGGGACCCAUAGAGCCCCAUAGAGCCCCAUAGGGACCCUUAGAGACUCAUAG
ensembl:lncRNA